rnacentral:rRNA from 1 species
UAAUAGUGUAUAUUAAAGUUGUUGCAGUUAAAAAGCUCGUAGUUGAAUGUUGGUGUCGAACGAGCGGUCAGCUUCGGCUGUACUGCUCUCUCGACUCCUUCCUUCUGUGGACUACGUCGCACUUUACUGUGUGGCGCUAGGACGCAGAUCGUUUACUGUGAAAAAAUUAGAGUGUUCAAAGCAGGCUUUCGCUUGAAUACAUUAGCAUGGAAUAAUAAGAUAGGACUUUGGUGCUAUUUUGUUGGUUGAGCCUAAAGUAAUGAUUAAUAGGGAUAGUUGGGGGCACCUGUAUUGCGUUGUCAGAGGUGAAAUUCUUGGAUUUACGCAAGACAAACAGCUGCGAAAGCGUCUGCCAAGGAUGUUUUCAUUAA